CUUUCAUGAAUAUUGCUAAUGCUUGUUAUGCUGGACAUUGUGACACCAAGAUGUGACAUCACAGUCUUACUGUAUCUGGCCCUGGAAUUUUGUGAGCAGAGCUUACUGGAAGGAACUGGAAGCCUGUCUGUUGAAUGUUCUUUGCAUCAUCAGAUAUGUAACAUUAUCAAUUUGAAUCCAGUCCAAUGCUGUUCAUGACCUUUUCCCAGCCAAGUAAGUCAAUAAAUUAGUCAAGUAAGAAGUACUUCAUUGUUCAUGUUUCAAAUCAUCAUUGAUGGCUAUAAAAAAAAAAAGACAUGCUCUGGAUUUCACUCUGUAACCCAAGGAAAGAAAUAACCAAGUCAUGUUCUAAGUGGAAUUGCCAGUACGUACUUCUAAAAGGAAAACACAUGAACCAUGGGAGUUCCCCGCCAGGGACAAACAUGUGAUAUUACAAAGGUAUAACAGUGCCUCCUUCAGAUCUGGCUGCUCCACACUGACCCACCAAUGUUUGUAUCCUCAGAAAAGGAAACUGAAGCAGACCAAAGACCCAGCAUCAGAGGAAACUCAAUUCCAAGAUGCCUGCUGUGCAGUGGCCUUGCUUUCCCCAUAAUGUCAAAAUAAAUAUAAAAGAAUUACCUCAAAAUGAAGGGCA